rnacentral:miRNA from 14 species
UGUGGGACUCCUAACAGCAGGAGCAGGGGCUGUUUCUGACUCUGUUGCCUACCCUUGGGACCCUUUCCUC